GAGGGAGGAGGGGGGGAGGAAGGGAAGGGAAGGGAAGGGAAGGGAAGGGAAGGGAAGGGAAGAGAGAGUGAGAGAAAGAGGGCGGGGGAAUAAUAAUGCCUGCAAAUCAAAACAGUCCGUUAAAGAAAGUUUUCUGGCUCUUGGAGGGAGGAAAAAACAUGCUGCAGAGCAGCUUCUACUGGAAACAACACAUGACGGAGUUUAGAGGACUUUUCCCUGGAGGAGUGAGAGAGGAAAGGAGUGAGAGGAGAAGAAGAAGGAGUGAGAGAGUGUUUUUGUUUUUUUCUCUCAGUAACUUAAGCUAAAGCUAGUUGGACAUACUGGACAUACUCCGCACGUCGUGUUGACCGUAAACUGAGGAUGGCAGGACUCUCCGCACUUUCCCUCCGUGCACGCAGCUCUGGAGCCCGGCCAGGCGUGCAGGGUCAGUGACUUCUUCCCUGUUCUCUUAGAAUAACCGAGUUAUUCCAGGACUUAUUAACUCAGGAACUCAGGACCCAGAGCUGGACUUGCUUAGUGCCCGCAGUGCUCUUGCUUAGGUUAACCUUUUACACGGGAGGAUGUCAGCUGUGCUUACCUGUGGGAGAUAAACUUCAGAUAGACUUCAGGACUUCAGGACGAGAAGUGCUUAUUUGUAGUGUUUUGAAGCAGAAAUCAUGCAGAUGCUGAAUUCCACCGACGGUCUCACAAGCGAGCGGGACCUGGAGGUCCAGCAGCGGCUGGCGGACAGCAGCCUGCCCGGCGAGGGGAUGAGGGAGAACGGUAACCACACAUUCGUCCAGCCGAGGCACGGGGCUGGAGCCCCCUGCUCCCAGCGGAAGAUGCUGGUCGGCUUAGACAUACUGUGCCUGAUUGUAGGAGAACAACAGAGAACAACAAGGCGGAUUGUUCGGGAGGCCCUCGGACAUACCGAGAAGAUCGCUCACUCUCCCGCUCACUGGCGCGCCAUCCUGCUUUCUGUUUGCUGGACAGUGUUUGAGUCUGUGUGUGUGUGAGGGGGGUUUGUGUGUGUGUGUGUGUGUGUGUGAGUGUGUGUGUGAGUGUGUGUGUAGUUGGCAGCAUUGUGCUUAGCUUUGUCCUGGUUUAGUAAGGACCCUCACACGACACACAUGCCCUGCAGACAGGCCUUAAUUAAGCCUGACCAAAAAAGAAGACAGAGGGAUGUACUGUACCUGGCCUGUGCAGUGUGUGUGUGUGUGUGUGUGUGUGUGUGUGAGCAUGCACCUGUACUCGAUCCUCUUCAUGAUCCUGACUUACGUCACCCAAAAUCAAAAUCACGUCAAUC
rnacentral:lncRNA from 1 species